rnacentral:rRNA from 1 species
GAUGAACGCUGGCGGCGUGCCUAAUACAUGCAAGUCGAGCGAACGGACGAGAAGCUUGCUUCUCUGAUGUUAGCGGCGGACGGGUGAGUAACACGUGGAUAACCUACCUAUAAGACUGGGAUAACUUCGGGAAACCGUAGCUAAUACCGGAUAAUAUUUUGAACCGCAUGGUUCAAAAGUGAAAGACGGUCUUGCUGUCACUAAUAGAUGGAUCCGCGUUGCAUUAGCUAGUUGGUAAGGUAACGGCUUACCAAGGCAACGAUGCAUAGCCGACCUGAGAGGGUGAUCGGACACACUGGAACUGAGACACGGUCCAGACUCCUACGGGGGGCAGCAGUAGGGAAUCUUACGCAAUGGGCGAAAGCCUGACGGAGCAACGCCGCGUGAGUGAUGAAGGUCUUCGGAUCGUAAAACUCUGUUAUUAGGGAAGAACAUAUGUGUAAGUAACUGUGCACAUCUUGACGGUACCUAAUCAGAAAGCCACGGCUAACUACGUG